ACUUUUUUUUUGGUAAGCGCAUUUUUAUACAGAUCAGCCUUAUUCGUAUGAUAUUUAAUGGAAAGUGUUUCAUUUUGGCAACGAUUGAGUCAGAUGUAGCUCUAUAAAUACUGAUUCUCUGUUUGUAACGGUGUAAGAAAAAUUAAGACUCCUAUAAUUCGAUGGUAACCUACUAUAUAUAAACCAAUUGAUAUAUACAUAAAUAUAAGACAAGGAAAUAUUACACAUUAUAUUCAUGGUGGGCGAAAUAUUGAAUUUAAUAUCUGCCGUAGGUUUAUUUGUUUAUUGGAGAAAAAGCAAAUAAACAGGCACUCGUAUAUUUCGGUCUAAUUCAUAAAAUGCUAAUACGAACCGGGUGUGUGAGCCGGUCAAUGACAAUGAGGGAGGUCUUGUUUGUUUAUGAGAGAGAGAGAGAGAGAGAGAGAGAGAGAGAGAGAGAGAGAGAGAGAGAGAAUUUAUAUUAGAAAAUCUUAUACAGAGAUGCGAACAGAAGAACGGAUAAGUAUAGAUGGUAAUAACUAGAUAAACACAUAAAUAGAUAAACUAGAACCAGAUUAAGAAGACAAUGAAGGACAAAACAUUUCUUAUGACAUGCGAAUUCUACACAUUGGGUAUACAUUGGGCCUUACAAAACACAUCCUAUUAAAGCUAUAAGUAACUUUUCUAACCAUUUCACACUUUCGUCUGAUAUAAAACGCUUGAGGCAAAAACUGCAAUGAAAAGCCUCAUAGUAAAACCUCACCAGUUGAUUUAGUGAUUACUGAUCGAUUUAGUUAUAAAAUGGUUGGGAACGGUGAGAGAGAAAUACAUGAAGGGGUACAUGACAAGGGUAGGGUAGAAUUAAUAAUAAUAAUAAUGUGGGGAAAAAAAAAAACUGGGUUGACUCGAAACUCCUAUCUUUUUUUUUUUUCAAUAAAUUCCAACCAGAAGUGCGAUCGACCAGAUCCAGCCAGCUCUUGUAACACCUAAACCAUGCUAAGGCUGAGAGUGGGCGUGUAUAGGUAGGAAGGUGGGGGCGUGCUCUACUACGGCAAAUGUUGGGGGAGGAGGGGACGUGGAUAUAAAUAGCACGGGAGGAAAAUAGACUGGAGCAUGUAUGAGAGAGAGAGAGAGAGAGAGAGAGAGAGCAAUCAUAAUGAGUAUAACGAAGGUACAGACAGACAGAUGAAUGAACAAGGCAUCAGAUGAACGGAAGGAACGAGCGUAAGUAAAGGAAAGGAUACAACAGAGAACCCCUGGACCAUUUUGGGAAGAGAGCGAGGCGAGACAACUUUCCCGAGACACCAACAGAUGGCGGCAGCUGUCCAAUCAAUCCCAAAACAUGAAGUGGCCCUGAGGAGGCAGUGUUGUUCCCCUGUGUGUGUUGUUCCCUGUGUCACAAAUACCAUCAUGGGGACAUAGAUAAGCCCGUCUGUCUGGGAUAUCGGAGGACAACGAAGGAGGCAACGAACGGAUGAAAAUGUCUGGAAAGGGGGACAAGGAAGGUAAGUUUUGGACACUGGAGGAGAGGCCGGGAGAGACGUGGACAGGUGGGACUUGUGUAAGUAUGUAAGUACGUUUGUAAGUAAGCCUGGAGUGUUUUGUAAGUGGUGUUACUUAAUGUUUGUUUACUUGUCUCCUUCGCCGCCUCGGGAAAAGUUGGUGAAUAGAAAACGGAAUUGAACUGAAAGAAGGUGG